GACGAACGCUGGCGGCGUGCUUAACACAUGCAAGUCGAACGGAAAGGCCCUGCUUUUGUGGGGUGCUCGAGUGGCGAACGGGUGAGUAACACGUGAGUAACCUGCCCUUGACUUUGGGAUAACUUCAGGAAACUGGGGCUAAUACCGGAUAGGAGCUCCUGCUGCACGGUGGGGGUUGGAAAGUUUCGGCGGUUGGGGAUGGACUCGCGGCUUAUCAGCUUGUUGGUGGGGUAGUGGCUUACCAAGGCUUUGACGGGUAGCCGGCCUGAGAGGGUGACCGGCCACAUUGGGACUGAGAUACGGCCCAGACUCCUACGGGAGGCAGCAGUGGGGAAUAUUGCACAAUGGGCGGAAGCCUGAUGCAGCAACGCCGCGUGCGGGAUGACGGCCUUCGGGUUGUAAACCGCUUUCGCCUGUGACGAAGCGUGAGUGACGGUAAUGGGUAAAGAAGCACCGGCUAACUACGUGCCAGCAGCCGCGGUGAUACGUAGGGUGCGAGCGUUGUCCGGAUUUAUUGGGCGUAAAGGGCUCGUAGGUGGUUGAUCGCGUCGGAAGUGUAAUCUUGGGGCUUAACCCUGAGCGUGCUUUCGAUACGGGUUGACUUGAGGAAGGUAGGGGAGAAUGGAAUUCCUGGUGGAGCGGUGGAAUGCGCAGAUAUCAGGAGGAACACCAGUGGCGAAGGCGGUUCUCUGGGCCUUUCCUGACGCUGAGGAGCGAAAGCGUGGGGAGCGAACAGGCUUAGAUACCCUGGUAGUCCACGCUGUAAACGGUGGGUACUAGGUGUGGGGUCCAUUCCACGGGUUCCGUGCCGUAGCUAACGCUUUAAGUACCCCGCCUGGGGAGUACGGCCGCAAGGCUAAAACUCAAAGGAAUUGACGGGGCCCCGCACAAGCGGCGGAGCAUGCGGAUUAAUUCGAUGCAACGCGUAGAACCUUACCUGGGUUUGACAUGGAUCGGGAGUGCUCAGAGAUGGGUGUGCCUCUUUUGGGGUCGGUUCACAGGUGGUGCAUGGCUGUCGUCAGCUCGUGUCGUGAGAUGUUGGGUUAAGUCCCGCAACGAGCGCAACCCUUGUUCACUGUUGCCAGCACGUUAUGGUGGGGACUCAGUGGAGACCGCCGGGGUCAACUCGGAGGAAGGUGGGGAUGACGUCAAGUCAUCAUGCCCCUUAUGUCCAGGGCUUCACGCAUGCUACAAUGGCUGGUACAGAGAGUGGCGAGCCUGUGAGGGUGAGCGAAUCUCGGAAAGCCGGUCUCAGUUCGGAUUGGGGUCUGCAACUCGACCUCAUGAAGUCGGAGUCGCUAGUAAUCGCAGAUCAGCAACGCUGCGGUGAAUACAUUCCCGGG
rnacentral:rRNA from 1 species